AGAGUUUGAUCAUGGCUCAGGAUGAACGCUGGCGGCGUGCUUAACACAUGCAAGUCGAACGAUGAUCUCCAGCUUGCUGGGGGGAUUAGUGGCGAACGGGUGAGUAACACGUGAGUAACCUGCCCUUGACUCUGGGAUAAGCCUGGGAAACUGGGUCUAAUACCGGAUACGACCGUCCCACGCAUGUGGUGGUGGUGGAAAGCUUUUGCGGUUUUGGAUGGACUCGCGGCCUAUCAGCUUGUUGGUGGGGUAAUGGCCUACCAAGGCGACGACGGGUAGCCGGCCUGAGAGGGUGACCGGCCACACUGGGACUGAGACACGGCCCAGACUCCUACGGGAGGCAGCAGUGGGGAAUAUUGCACAAUGGGCGGAAGCCUGAUGCAGCGACGCCGCGUGAGGGAUGACGGCCUUCGGGUUGUAAACCUCUUUCAGUAGGGAAGAAGCGAAAGUGACGGUACCUGCAGAAGAAGCGCCGGCUAACUACGUGCCAGCAGCCGCGGUAAUACGUAGGGCGCAAGCGUUAUCCGGAAUUAUUGGGCGUAAAGAGCUCGUAGGCGGUUUGUCGCGUCUGCUGUGAAAGACCGGGGCUCAACUCCGGUUCUGCAGUGGGUACGGGCAGACUAGAGUGAUGUAGGGGAGACUGGAAUUCCUGGUGUAGCGGUGAAAUGCGCAGAUAUCAGGAGGAACACCGAUGGCGAAGGCAGGUCUCUGGGCAUUAACUGACGCUGAGGAGCGAAAGCAUGGGGAGCGAACAGGAUUAGAUACCCUAGUAGUCC
rnacentral:rRNA from 1 species